rnacentral:rRNA from 1 species
UGGGGAAUUUUGGACAAUGGGCGAAAGCCUGAUCCAGCCAUGCCGCGUGCAGGAUGAAGGCCUUCGGGUUGUAAACUGCUUUUGUACGGAACGAAAAGACUCUGGUUAAUACCUGGGGUCCAUGAUGGUACCGUAAGAAUAAGCACCGGCUAACUACGUGCCAGCAGCCGCGGUAAUACGUAGGGUGCAAGCGUUAAUCGGAAUUACUGGGCGUAAAGCGUGCGCAGGCGGUUAUAUAAGACAGAUGUGAAAUCCCCGGGCUCAACCUGGGAACUGCAUUUGUGACUGUAUAGCUAGAGUACGGCAGAGGGGGAUGGAAUUCCGCGUGUAGCAGUGAAAUGCGUAGAUAUGCGGAGGAACACCGAUGGCGAAGGCAAUCCCCUGGGCCUGUACUGACGCUCAUGCACGAAAGCGUGGGGAGCAAACAGGAUUAGAUACCCUGGUAGUCCACGCCCUAAACGAUGUCAACUGGUUGUUGGGUCUUCACUGACUCAGUAACGAAGCUAACGCGUGAAGUUGACCGCCUGGGGGUACGGCCGCAAGGUUGAAACUCAAAUGAAUUGACGGGGUC